rnacentral:lncRNA from 1 species
GUAAAAUAACAGCCAAAGAGUUGGAAACAAAGCAGUCCUAUAAAGAGAAACGAGGAGGCUUUGUGUUGGUGCAUGCAGGUGCAGGUUAUCAUUCUGAAUCCAAAGCCAAGGAGUAUAAACAUGUAUGCAAACGAGCUUGUCAGAAGGCAAUUGAAAAGCUGCAGGCCGGUGCUCUUGCAACUGACGCAGUCACUGCAGCACUGGUGGAACUUGAGCUCAUGUGGAAAGGACAAUUUCAGGUACUGUGUGUGCUAACUAACCUCUUCCUGGACAUCAUAAAGAAUCCAACUAAAACAAAGUUUAAAACUAUUUCAAAUGUGAAAGUUUAUUGAAGCCAAUAUUCUAUUUUAGAGAUUUGUGUUAUGUUUUUGACAAGUAACUGUACUGUAAUUAUGUGGCUUUCAAUUAAAAAAUGUGAAAACUGUU